GCGACCCCAGGUCAGGCGGGACUACCCRCUGAGUU
rnacentral:rRNA from 1 species